ACUGGGAGGGUGCGCCGAAUACUGAGUAACUAGAGUGCGGGAGAGGAAAGUGGAAUUCCUGGUGUAGCGGUGAAAUGCGUAGAUAUCAGGAGGAACACCGGUGGUGUAGACGGCUUUCUGGACCGUAACUGACGCUGAGACACGAAAGCGUGGGUAGCAAACAGGAUUAGAUACCCUGGUAGUCCACGCCCUAAACGAUGCACAUUUGGUGUGGGUCAUUCAGUUGAUCCGUGCCGGAGCUAACGCGUUAAAUGUGCCGCCUGGGGAGUACAGUCGCAAGGCUGAAACUCAAAGGAAUUGACGGGGGCCCGCACAAGCGGUGGAGCAUGUGGUUCAAUUCGACGCAACGCGAAGAACCUUACCUGGGCUCGAACGGCCGGUCAACGGCGGUGGAAACAUCGCUACCCCGC
rnacentral:rRNA from 1 species